GUUCCCUAUGAUGCUUCAGAACCAUGCUAAUGCUGAUAAUUCCAUGAUUGAUUCUUUCUUCAUUCAUUUACUGAGGGAAACA